ensembl:snRNA U4 U4 spliceosomal RNA
UGCUUUGCACAGUGUCAGUAUCGUAGCUAAUGAGGUUAAUCCGAGGCGCAAUUAUUGCUAGUUGAAAACUUUUCAAGCAAGGAUGGGUAAACUGGUUCAGGAAAAAUAAAAGCCCCUGGUUUCCAAACUGUCAGCACUUCACAGGCUUGGCUGGGUACUGAGAGAAAGCCUAGUCCCAGGAAAUUUUUCAACCCAAUUUUGC